GAAAACAAGGAGGAGGAGGAGGAGGAGGAGGAGGAGGAGGAGAGUUUUUAUCUCCUGGUAAAGAAAACCGUCUCCAAACUUUAGACUCGAACCCUUAAAAAUGUUUGAGGACCAGGAGACCGAUCAGCAGAGAGGUCCAGGUGGAGUCAGAGGAAGUCUGAAGGUUCUUAGAAGUUCAGAGCAGGAACCCUCACAGUCAGGUCCUCCUCCUCCUCCUCCUCCUCCUCCUCCUCCUCACUUUAGUAU